GGGUUGUGAGGUUAAGCGACUAAGCGUACACGGUGGAUGCCCUGGCAGUCAGAGGCGAUGAAGGACGUGCUAAUCUGCGAUAAGCGUCGGUAAGGUGAUAUGAACCGUUAUAACCGGCGAUUUCCGAAUGGGGAAACCCAGUGUGUUUCGAUACACUAUCAUUAACUGAAUCCAUAGGUUAAUGAGGCGAACCGGGGGAACUGAAACAUCUAAGUACCCCGAGGAAAAGAAAUCAACCGAGAUUCCCCCAGUAGCGGCGAGCGAACGGGGAGCAGCCCAGAGCCUGAAUCAGUGUGUGUGUUAGUGGAAGCGUCUGGAAAGGCGCGCGAUACAGGGUGACAGCCCCGUACACAAAAAUACACAUACUGUGAGCUCGAUGAGUAGGGCGGGACACGUGGUAUCCUGUCUGAAUAUGGGGGGACCAUCCUCCAAGGCUAAAUACU
rnacentral:rRNA from 2 species